rnacentral:rRNA from 1 species
AACGAACGCUGGCGGCAUGCCUAACACAUGCAAGUCGAACGAGACCUUCGGGUCUAGUGGCGCACGGGUGCGUAACGCGUGGGAACCUGCCCUUAGGUUCGGAAUAACUCCCCGAAAGGGGUGCUAAUACCGGAUAAUGUCUUCGGACCAAAGAUUUAUCGCCUUUGGAUGGGCCCGCGUUGGAUUAGCUAGUUGGUAGGGUAAAAGCCUACCAAGGCGACGAUCCAUAGCUGGUCUGAGAGGAUGAUCAGCCACACUGGGACUGAGACACGGCCCAGACUCCUACGGGAGGCAGCAGUAGGGAAUAUUGGACAAGGGGCGAAAGCCUGAUCCAGCAAUGCCGCGUGAGUGAUGAAGGCCUUAGGGUUGUAAAGCUCUUUUACCCGGGAUGAUAAUGACAGUACCGGGAGAAUAAGCUCCGGCUAACUCCGUG